GUAAUAAUGCCAGAUUUAAUGGGGUUGGUUUAGGACCAAAAUAUGGGAAAUUUGUCCUUUAUUACU
rnacentral:tRNA from 1 species